UCUUAAACUUCAUAUGUAUCUUCUUUUACUUCUUUUUUUGAUAUUUUUUAAACAAAUUAAUUUUCACGAUAAUCAUAUUAUCAUGAAGACCAUAAGCAUCAUACCACGGAAAAUGUAGUAUUUAAAAACAUCAUAGUACUUGAAAUACUAUAAUGAAGACAAUAAUGAUUAUCACGAAAUCAUCCCAAUAUUUUAAGUACUAUAAUGACUACCGCUAUUUUAGAACACUUAAAACGUCGGGUAGAGAGGAAUUGAAGUGGCUAUUUCCCAAUAAAAAAAAGAUAAAAAUAAAAAAAAAGAUGGGUUUUAAAAUUUGAUUAGGAGCACGUGGAAGGAGCUGG
rnacentral:lncRNA from 1 species